rnacentral:rRNA from 1 species
CCUACGGGAGGCAGCAGUGGGGGAUAUUGCACAAUGGGGGAAACCCUGAUGCAGCGACGCCGCGUGGGUGAAGAAGUAUUUCGGUAUGUAAAGCCCUAUCAGCAGGGAAGAAAGAUGACGGUACCUGACUACGAAGCCCCGGCUAACUACGUGCCAGCAGCCUCGGUCAUACGGAGGGGGCGAGCGUUAUCCGGAUUCACGGGGUGUAAAGGGAGCGUAGACGGCCGUGCAAGCCAGGAGUGAAAGCCCGGGGCGCAACCCCGAGACUGCUGUUGGAACUGUGCGGCUGGAGUGCGGGAGGGGCAGGCGGAAUUCGUGGUGUAGCGGUGAAAUGCGUAGAUAUCAGGAGGAACACCGACGGCGAAGGCGGCCUGCUGGACCGCGACUGACGUUGAGGCUCGAAAGCGUGGGGAGCGAACAGGAUUAGAUACCCCAGUAGUC